GGGGUUAUAGCUCAGCUGGGAGAGCGCUUGCAUGGCAUGCAAGAGGUCCGCGGUUCGAUCCCGCGUAGCUACACCA
rnacentral:tRNA from 1 species